CCGCUCUAUAUAUACACAGGUGUGUGGCUUCACCUCAGUCUCGUGCUUUCGGCUCUUAGCUCUCCUCGUGGAGGUGACUGCAUCCGGGCGUGCUGGAUCUGGUGUGGUAAAUCGGGGCGCAUGUAACAUCGCUGGUACAGCGACGGCUGUGACGCUGGGAGACGGGCUCAGCGUGCCGUGGGUGCGUCCGUGUCGGCGGGGUUCAGCGAGCCUCGGCAACAGUCCAGUCCCUGGUGGUGGUUUCACGAGUCCCUUUUUCGUUGGUGUGUCGUGUCACAGGUGUGGGAUUAUUUUUGGACCCCUUUUCUCUUUGAUUUUCUGAUUCUUGCCUGCCGCCAUGGUAAGCCGGCCUACCUCUUUAAUAUUUAAGUUGAGUUUUUCUAUUUUCCUAUUUUAACCUGGUGGCCUUGACCCUUACUAAUAAUUAAUAUUGUAAUUGAAUAAAGAUAUUAU